UAGUCAUAUAUCAGAACAGGAGACAGUAUGAUUAGCAGACCUUGAAGCGAUACGAAUUGAGGUAUGUUAAAUAAUCUGCUAAAGUUAUUGUUGUUGAUUGUAUUGUAAUCAUGCAACAUUUAUUAUUUAUAAACGAUUGACGCGAUAUCAAUUCAAAAGAGGGGUCAAUAAUUUAUUUCGAGAGGCAGUACCCUACUUGAUUGAGUCACUUAGCUAACCCGUGAUGCGCGGGACAAUCUAUAAACAACCCACACCCCACCGACGUUUUCAACUAACCUCCCCGCAACUCAGACAAACUCGUCAUUGGCAUCUUUAUUUCAAAAACGUUCUUAUGGCAUGUAAUGUAGACAUGUGGUUACAUUGUUCUAGACAGAAACAUCUAUCUUAAAGGGAUAGUUCACUUUAAAAUGAAAAUUCUGUCAUCAUUUACUCAUCCUCAUGUUGUUCUAAACCUGUAUGACCUGUAUGUAAACCUCUUUGUUAAUUUGUCUUUUACCCAAAUCUUAGGAGUAUUGCACAUCGUCUUGACCCUGGAGAGUGGACAGAAGUCACAGGAUUGGAUAUUGGGGUGACACACAACUACAAAACUACUGUACAUAUUUUCACGUCUGUGUAUGUUAUUAUUUUAAAUUCUAAUAUAUUUGUUUCCUAAAGGUCUUUCCUCAGCAGACCAACAGCAUUGAUUGUGGUUUUUUUCAUGCUCAUGGUAAGCUAUUAAAACAGGAUACUAAAGCUAUUUUUUUCUGGAAAUUAAUUUUUUAUCUUUUUCAGUAUGCCCUUUACACUGUGCUGAACAUUCCAUUCAAUUUCACUUCUGUGAGCCUUUCUAUUUCUUCCUUAGAAGGUUGCUAUAAAGUUUAUUGUAUUGUAUCUAACAAUGCAAAUUAAAUACUAAUCCUGUGACAUUACAAUUUUUGUUAGCUUGACAUGCCUGCAAUCAGGGAGUGGUGGUGUCUACGUCUAAUUGAGCGGUUUGAGACAGAGGGGUAUGUGUAUUCGUUUCUUUACAUCUCAGUUUGGCGUUUCAUUCUUUGUUCCUUCCUUGUCAGUAGGAGCAAAUUGAUGUUAUUUACACUCACCUGACUUCAAUUCUGGACAGCAUACCCACACACACCCACAGUGACUAGAUUUGAUUCAUUAUGGAUGUCCCUUUUCCAGAGUCCAUCAUCUGUGCUCUUGCUGUUGUGGAACAUGUGUCCAUCUUGGAGGCUGAGGAGAAAUUCCUGGGAGGACCUGUCAUUGACACAAAAUACUUGAGCGGGAGCACUUUGACAGCAGGAUAAAAAAACAGUAAAAGAAGAGUGGAAAACCAUAGGAGAGUGAUGGUGUUAAUAAAAAAAAUUGUGAACCACAA